CACGUAGGGUGCGAGCGUUGUCCGGAAUUAUUGGGCGUAAAGAGCGUGUAGGCGGUUCGGUAAGUCUGCCGUGAAAACCUGGGGCUCAACCCCGGGCGUGCGGUGGAUACUGCCGGGCUAGAGGGUGGUAGAGGCGAGUGGAAUUCCCGGUGUAGCGGUGAAAUGCGCAGAUAUCGGGAGGAACACCAAUGGCGAAGGCAGCUCGCUGGGACGGUACUGACGCUGAGACGCGAAAGCGUGGGGAGCAAACAGG
rnacentral:rRNA from 1 species